AUUAUGCAAGCCUUUACAAGAUGUUGUAGGAGAUCCACUUUUAUGGAGAAAUAUUAACAUAGUUCAUCCAUUUUGUACUAACAUCACAAAUGAUAUCCUUAAAAACUUGAUGAAUAGAGCUCAAGCCCAUCUUCAUUCGCUCAGUCUAUUUCACUGCUCGAAGCUUACUGAUGCUGGUUUGAAGCUCAAAGGUCUUCCGUUGUUCAUAGACGAGAAAGACGAGUGAGGGAGAAAUGGACAGACUCCGUGGCUUCUCCAAAUGGCAAUGGAAAACGCUGUUGAUCGUGGCAGAAUGUGGACUGAGACGCAUAGGAGAAAAGAUAGAAGUAAUGUAACUGAGGUGGCUAAAGAGAUUGGGGUAAGUAUUUUUUUCUGUAGAGUAGAUAUUUAUAGUAGUGCACAAAUCGGGAUCUUGUUCAAUUUGGCUUAAUAAUGAUAUGACGCUAGAUCAAAAGGUAGUGGAAUAGUAGAUAGCUCAGUAUUGUCGUACAUUUAUGUGGGAGAGGCAAAGGCCAUUCUCCUGUGCUUAUCGUCAUUGUAUCCGGUAGUAAUAUUUAGUAUUUACCUAGUAUCUUAUUAAAUAGACAUAGAAUUCAUUCAGACAUCAGACGAUGAAAACAAUUUUAUAAAUCCGACAUAUAAUCCAUUGAGAUAUAAACAAUGUCAGCGUGUGUGUGUCCGGACUUCUAAAAAUAGUCUAUUUUUAGAGAAGUCGACAUGGAUACGACAUAAAAAGUAAAGAGUCCGCACAAGUAAGAUAUAAAUGAAAUAGAAGUAUUAACUAUUUUGUAAACUAAAUGGUCGAAUAGUAAUCUUGAUUACUAUUUCUUUUUGUAUUACUGAGUAAUGGAGUUGUAACUAAAAUUCGUUUUCAAAAGCGUAUAAUACAGCUUCCUCAUAUAAAUAAAGGUAAUUUUCCUCAAUUUAGAAUGAAAUCCCACCCAAAAAUAGAAGCGAGAAACACCAUAGAUAAG